CGGGAGCUGGUCCCAAGCUCAGCGUCUCAUUUCUUCGGUGGUUCCUGAAUCGAGCACCAAAGCUUAGUCGCUCUAGAAGCCCAGCUGAAGAUCGUCCCAGUGCAGAAGCCAAGAUGAAGCCUGUCAACUCUGCUUUGUUUCUGCUGUGCCUGAGCCUGUGGGGUAGCAGUGAAACAUCAGGAAUGACCAUCCCUUGGGAGGUUUCAACGACAACUUGGUCAACAACUGCCGCCACUGAAGAUAGUACUUUACUUGGCCUGACAACUAAUGCCGCUGAUGAUAGUACUUUACUUGGCCUGACAACUAAUGUCACUGAUGAUAGUACUUUACUUGGCCUGACAACUAAUGCCGCAGAUGAUAGUACUUUACUUGUCCUGACAACUAAUGUCACUGAUGAUAGUACUUUACUUGUCCUGACAACUAAUGUCACUGAUGAUAGUACUUUACUUGGUCUGACAACUAAUGCCGCUGAUGAUAGUACUUUACUUGUAAUGACAACUAAUGCCGCUGAUGAUAGUACUUUACUUGUCCUGACAACUAAUGUCACUGAUGAUAGUACUUUACUUGGCCUUGAUAACUAAUGCCACUGAUGAUAGCACUUUACUUCCCCUGACAACUAAUGCCACUGAUGAUAGUUUCUUUACUUGGCCUAACAACUGUCGCCACUGAUUCGUCGACUGGAUAAAGACCACCACACAAGGAUCCACUGAUCAAUGUAGCCCACCUACAGGAUGAAGCCCAACUUCACCAAAUGGUAAUAUCGGCAACCUGGCUCACCAUCUUCUUCAGGAAUACAUUUUUCGAAGCUCUUUUUCCUUCAUCAGCAUCAGCACUAUAACUUACUUGAAAUUUAGCAUUAAAUCUGACAUUUUGUUUGAUUUUCAACACUAAAUCUGAAAUUUUAUCUUCCAAAUUUAGCACUAAAUCUGAAAUGUUUUCUUCCAAGAGUAAUGUACCUACCUUUUGAUUAAAUAAAAUUAUUUGCAAUCUUGA